UACGGGAGGCAGCAGUGGGGAAUAUUGCACAAUGGGCGCAAGCCUGAUGCAGCCAUGCCGCGUGUAUGAAGAAGGCCUUCGGGUUGUAAAGUACUUUCAGUCGUGAGGAAGGUGUUAAGGUUAAUAACCUUAGCAAUUGACGUUAGCGACAGAAGAAGCACCGGCUAACUCCGUGCCAGCAGCCGCGGUAAUACGGAGGGUGCGAGCGUUAAUCGGAAUUACUGGGCGUAAAAGGCACGCAGGCGGUUAAUUAAGUUGGAUGUGAAAUCCCCGGGCUUAACCUGGGAAUGGCAUUCAAGCUGGUUAGCUAGAGUCUUGUAGAGGGGGUAGAAUUCCAUGUGUAGCGGUGAAAUGCGUAGAGAUGUGGAGGAAUACCGGUGGCGAAGGCGGCCCCUGGGACAAAGGACUGACGCUCAUGUGCGAAAGCGUGGGGAGCGAAACAGGGAUUAGAUACC
rnacentral:rRNA from 1 species